rnacentral:lncRNA from 1 species
ACGCCGAUUGCAAGUGACUACAAGCAAUCGGAGCGCGUGUUAAGGUGGGUUGGUUUACCGAAGCGACUAGGUCGCCUAUAUGUCUAAUUAUUAGACUUUCAUGUUGAUGCAUGCUAAUAAAUGAUAUAGACGAUGCAUGUUAGUAAAUCGUAUAGUUGAUGCAUGAGAUAAAAUGCCAAGUAGUGAGCAUGUAAAAGUAAAGUUGUAUGCAUGAUGAUUAUGACAUGUAGAUGCUAAGUAAACGCAUGAACGCAUGAGUAGCAUGAUGGUAAUAUGCAAGAUAAAUGUGCAUGAAAACUAGGUUGAUAACCCUAGAAUGAUUGAAGUAAAUGAUGCUAUGCUAAAGUAUAAGUGAUAAGCAUGAUAUAAGAAUAGUAAAUGCAAGUGCAUGUUAAGAAUGCUAAGUAAGGAACAUAUAUAGGUGGACAUGAAUAAACCUAUAGAUCGAGUGGCAUUAAACCUAGUGUCGAGGACAUAGGUUAAACAAAUGUGAUGUUGAACCUAAUGUAAGAACAUAGGUUAAAUAAGAGUGAUGUUAAACCUAAUGUAAAGAACAUAGGUUGUGAUAUAAAGGUGCUUAACCUAGAGUCAAGUGAACCUAGGUUGGAAAGAAUAAUAAUCCUCGUAUAAUAAACCUAGGUUAAGAAUGUGAAAGCAAUAAACCUAAUGGGCUAAUUUAGGUUGAGUAAAGGCUUAGACCUAGAGAGGUCAGUUCCAUAGGGUUAAGACCAACCCUUGGUUAAUGUGAUAUGGAUUCCGGAAUCCGAAUGCUUGCUGAUACACCCAAAGUGGUGUCGGGUGUGUGCGACGAUUUCGCCGCCCAGGGGCUAGAGAACCAUUGUCGUGGCGUGUGUGCGACGAUUUCGCCGCCGGAUGGUUAGCCAGUUUGUGGAUCCUACCGCCUGUUGACUAAACCACUGUCGUGGCGUGUGUGCGACAAUUUCGCCGCCGGGUGGCUAAGUCAUUGAACCUAGGCCGUUGUUGGGUGAGGUGCGAUUCGUUCGCCGCCAGACGGCUAGGACAGGAGUACGGUGAGCUGUUGCCAGCUGAGGUGCAUGUGAGAGUUCCUUCACCUCGAGCUAGACAGUGCGCGGACUAUCUGCGAUUGAUUGACUCAAGACUGAGUCGGGUGGCUUGUUGACUAAGGUAAAGUAACCUUAGAGUAGAAUGUCAAAGGCUAAGAUAUAGCAUGGUUCAAGAAUGUUAAGAGUAAAGAAUAGCUAAAGAACAAAGAGUGGCUAAAGAAUAAUGAAUAGCUAAAGAAAGGAAUAGCUAAGAGCUAAAAGUAAGCAUUAAAUGGCAAAGAGUAAAGAAUGAUUAAGAACAUAAGUAGUGUUAAAGUAACCUACUUGCAUGAUUCCAGGUAUUGCAUAUUGCAUUUCGUGAGGCAUGACAUGUAUUUCAAUUGAAUAUAUAUCUGUUGUAUAUUGUUGAACUAACAUGUUGCAGUGCCUCGUUAGACCUGUUGGCUGAGCUUGUUCUCUUGGGUGGCUAAACCCACUGAGGACUAUGGACAAUAGUCUCACCCCCGUGUUGCUGUUUUGGGGGUACAGGUACACACGUGUGCGGCGCGGCGGCGCAAGGCGAGGACGUAGUUCUGCAGAUAGCGUCCUACCCAGAGACUGAGAUAGCAGUACCCGAGUUGGUGGUCUAGCUUGGGAGGUUUAAAGACAAACUUUUAUCAAGAUGUAUCAAAUUGUAAUAAGUAAACGAUGUGCUAGUUAUGAUUGUAUUUGGAGGUUGAUUAUAAAAGAAAAAUUAUGUUGUAAAACGCAUCUAAGUUGAAUGCUGUAAUAACUUAGUAGUUUAUGUUUUUGAUACUUCCUUAUGCAAUCUGUGAGUGAAUACUGUUCCUGGUUGGAACCUCUCGUAUUGUUUUGAUUGCGACGCCUUGGAUGUACAGGGGAGACUCUGUCCGUCCGGCGGUCUGUCGGCGGCGCCGCGACCCGGCCAAAUUGGCGGGUGGUUGCGGGGCGUGACAAAUCCAAUUGACUCAAAACAUAUCGUUAAAAAUUCCAAAACCACCACAAAACCGAUCCCUGAACUCGCCGAAAAUCCCAAAAAUCACAUUGGGACAUCCCCAGAACCCACAAAAUGUCUCAAAAGGCUUCGACUC